ACUCCUACGGGAGGCAGCAGUGGGGAAUAUUGGAUAAUGGGGGCAACCCUGAUCCAGCAAUGCCGCGUGUGUGAAGAAGGCCUUCGGGUUGUAAAGCACUUUCGGUGGGGACAAACAAGGCGGAGCUAACAUCUCCGUCCCUGAUGGUACCCAAAGAAGAAGCACCGGCUAACUCUGUGCCAGCAGCCGCGGUAAUACAGAGGGUGCAAGCGUUAAUCGGAAUUACUGGGCGUAAAGGGUGCGUAGGUGGUUUGUUAAGUCAGGCGCGAAAUCCUCGGGCUCAACCUGGGAACUGCGCUUGAUACUGACUGACUCGAGUGUGGUAGAGGAUAGUGGAAUUCCCGGUGUAGCGGUGAAAUGCGUAGAUAUCGGGAGGAACAUCAGUGGCGAAGGCGGCUAUCUGGACUAACACUGACACUGAGGCACGAAAGCGUGGGUAGCAAACAGGAUUAGAUACCCUGGUAGUCCACGCCCUAAACGAUGGGUACUAGACGUCGGGAAGCUUGUCUUCUUGGUGUCGCAGCUAACGCAAUAAGUACCCCGCCUGGGGAGUACGGUCGCAAGAUUAAAACUCAAAUGAAUUGACGG
rnacentral:rRNA from 1 species